AUACGGAGGGUGCAAGCGUUAUUCGGAAUCACUGGGCGUAAAGGACGCGUAGGCGGGUUGGCAAGUCAGAUGUGAAAUCCUACAGCUUAACUGUAGAACUGCAUUUGAAACUGCUAACCUAGAGUAUGGGAGGGGGAGAUGGAAUUAGUGGUGUAGGGGUAAAAUCCGUAGAUAUCACUAGGAAUACCGAAAGCGAAGACGAUCUCCUGGAACAUAACUGACGCUAAGGCGUGAAAGCGUGGGGAGCAAACAGGAUUAGAAACCCCAGUAGUCC
rnacentral:rRNA from 1 species